rnacentral:lncRNA from 1 species
GCUUUGUCCUUCCGAACAACCGCAGCAACGUCAUUCGCCCGGAAACAUUCGUCAUGGCCGGGUUCUUGGUGCAGGGAGAGAGAGUAGCCAUAGCUCCGGCCGUCCUUGCCAGCAUUUAUUACGGUUUGGGCGCUCGCUCCAAGGGAAAAAUGGAGUGGAGACUUCCUUUCCCAUAUCGUCUAAAAUCCAUUGGGAUGAUAUCUUUCUUUGUUGGAGCUAGAACUCUCCCGAUUCAUUACUGGGACUGCAUUUAUAUACUUUUACAGUAUAAUAAAAGUGUUUGGGCUAAGCAGC